rnacentral:lncRNA from 1 species
UCUCCUCUCCUCUCCUCUUAAUCCCUGUAUCCCUCUAUUUCUCUUCUAUUCCCAAUCCCUAUCUAUCCCUCCUACCUGUCAAUUCUUAUCCCCCAUAAUUUCUUCCUCAAUUCCCAUCAAUUCUGCGAAGUAAUUGCACAGUCCCAUCGGAAUUGGUGCCGGAACCCACCAUCAUCCCCGUCGCCGUCCUCGCCUCGGCAAAGUAUCGUCAUCGGCGGGUUGCAACGGGUCCGGGAUAUUACACUCUGGUGAGCAUUUAAUUCUAACAAAUUUUUAAAAUUGCUAACGAAAGGACUGAAAUCAAAGGAUUUGUAAGUUGAGAGAUGUAAAUCAAAUAAAAAAAACAAAAAUACAAAGUCUACAAUCUUUACAAUUGUCGAUCCAAGACGCAGAGUAUAGUUCGCGUAUUUUAGUUUUUAGUUAAAAAAAAAAUCAAAAAAAUAUUUGGACGAGACGAGCUGGAAAAAAGUGGACAUUGGAUGGCGGAAGUUAUAGGGUUAGCAUUGCUCAUUUUUUUUAAAAAAAAAAUCACGGCAUUUAAACCGAAAACAAUUGGGGAAUUAACUCCUAUAAAUAUUAUUUUAGAAUCUAACCCUCAUUCCAUGCAAGAGUAACACCGGCGCUAGUUAGCAAAAUUUAAGAUUAGUUAGUUGCCACAAGAAGAUGGCGAAUCAUUCGGUGCCUUUUGAAUAGAAGACAACUUAAUAAUUUAUUACCUACUUAAUUUCAUCCGCCUAUUUAUAAGCUUUAUUGUGUUUCUCAUGCAGUAAAUUAGAAGAGAUAAUUUUCUUUGUGUUCUAAAGCUUUACAAAAUUAGGUGUUGAGCAUAAUUAAGUGUUUAAUUUGUAACUUCGUUGGAUAGAAGAAUCUAGUAACCUAUUGGGUAAUUAAAUUUCAACCAACUAGAGUAACUCGCCAAAGGAAAAAAAAAAAAAAAAGGAAAAAAAAAAAGAUACGCCUCUCCAAUAAUCACUGCUGAAAGAUUGACAUGAAUUUGGUCGCAAAAUCUGAAUCAAAACCAAACUUACACAGACUGAAAACUGAGUUUGUUAGUUAAUUUGUUUUUCUGUCUUCAACACAUAAAGAAAUUUAAUUUCUUUCUGAAAAUUGUAAAGAAAUUAAAAGUAAAGCAGCUGUUGGAUGUAGUUGUAAGUUGAUGCGUGCUGAAGUACAGCAGCCCUUUUUUUUUCCUUUUACAAUGAGUCGGCCGCACCGACCAAAUUUACUCUCAAAAUCGAUGUACAGCCCUCAAUAAAAACUUAAGAAGUUUAACAAAAUUUCAAGUAUAAAUAACUUUAGACCUGGGAUACUUUGUCUACUUCAAAGAAGCUCAUCAACUUCAUCAGAUCAUGAGAUUUGCUAGUUGUGCAGAUAAAGUGAAGAGAAACAAAUUGCUAUCUUGCCAUCAUAGAACACACAGAUUAUUACUCUUUAACCUUCGCGCACUUCGCUAAUUAAACAUACAUCUCCAAAUCUCAAUCUUCAAAAUAUAUAAUGUAAUAUAUUAUCCUUCCUUGCAAAGAAAUCAAAUUAGUCCCACAUUCUUAUGCUCGCUAAUUGGUCUCCUAGGGAAGGUUAAUUAAGCAGUGAAACAAAAUAACCAGUAAAAUUAAGCUACACAAAGCAGUAAAACCUUAACCAUCCUUUCUAACAAGGCUGAAAUGGAUAGACUAAAAUUACAGGACUCAACUUAUAUACGAUACAGUCAAAAUUGGCCAUAAAAAAUUGUCGAAAGCAUGUUUUAAUAUUUAAAUAAUCAUUAUCACAUUUGUCUGACCUUUUUUUUUUAUCAAAUCACAAAACCUUGUUUUUUUUACAUUCUUUACUUUUUUUUUUUUUAGACACUUCAUAUCAUUUUAUAUUAUAUUAAUUCGGUUUAUUUUUUAAGUUUGCAGACAAAUUUUUUUAUUAUUAUUUUAACUCUACGAAAGACAUGAAAAAAACGGCAUUAGACAUCUGGAGAUAAUAACCUAUACGUCUGUUAUUAAAGAGGUAGGCUUUCCGACACCUCAUCCCCACAGUUGCUCGGCUUAUGCUCGCUCGACCCGAGUAAAUUAUUUGCUCGGCUUAUGCUCGACCCGAGUAAAUUAUUUGCUCGGCUUAUGCUCGAUCCCAAAUCCCAAAUCCCAAAAUCCCAAAAAUCCCCAAAUCCCAAAUCCCAAAAUCCCAAGUCCCAAGUCCCAAGUUGUAUAUUUCAUAAAUCCGAAUCCUGAGGGACACGGAAUGAGAAUGACGUACAUAACGUAAAAAAAAAAAGAAAAAAAGAUAACGGUUUAAUUACAUUUUAGAAAUACCUACUUUAACAGGAUUUUUAUUAAUUAAAUGACAAACUAAGGACGUGUUCAUCGUUUAGAGUAUCGGGCCACUCGAACAAAUCAAAACAGAUGAUUGACUACUUCAACAACUCGGAUCAAAUUUGAAACCAAAUCUUACACAAAGUUUGGAAAAAAUAAAAAGAAAAAAGAAAAGAAAGUCGUCGUAUUAAUCAUGGGAAUUCGAACACUCGAAUAAAAGUCACCAUAUUUAAUAUAAGUUUAAAACAAUUUCAAAUAUACAAAAAAAUUAUGUCCAACAUAGUUAAACCCUCAUUUAAAUUAUCCACGUACGAGACAGUUAUUCCGAGCUGACUGAGCAACAUUUUCCUUUUAUUCUCGUUUUGACGUUGUCGUGCGUACUUGAACGUUGGUUGUAGGACGUCAAAGUAUGAAAAUGAUAGAAACGUGAAAGAUUUGUUUGAAUUCUAAGUAAUUGCUGNUUGACACCCCUACUCCACAGCCUUUCGGAUGGAGAAAUUAUUGUCUGCAUAUCCAAUAAUAGAGGUCUACAGAUUACGGAAAAAAAUGUACAGAAAGCAUCUCAAUUUUAUUAUUAUUUUUUUAAACAGACGUUUGAAUUUUUUAUUUGGCUUAAUUAUAUUAUAUUUUACUAUACUUCACAGAUUUUUUUUUUUUUCAUUUCUUACAUUUUUUUUGUUCCAAAACACUAAACUAUUUUUUUUUUUCCAGUCUGUUUACACUAUUACUAAUAAAUUUAUAAUUUUGUACGAAAGCUGUUAAAAAAUACCGGUUAAAACUGACAUAGCAUAUAUUCAACUCAUUUUGACAUGAAAAUAAUAAAAUAAAUAAAAAUUAUAAAAAAAAUAAAAAUAACUUGAUAGAAGCUUUCAAUGAGUCUAUCAGAGAGAUUCCCUUUAUAUUUAUUUUCUAUUUUUUAACUAGUAUUUCUUAAUAAGUUGUUAAAAUUUUUCUAAAAUAAUAGAUUUAUUAAAAGUAAUGUAGUGAUUGAUAAGAAAAAAUUAGUUUAGUAAUAUCUAUAAAAAAAUAGUAAAGGGUAGAAACCAAAAAUAAAUCUAAAAUAUAAUGUAAAGAUUGAUAAAACAUAAUAAUACAAUAAUGUCUUUGAAAAAAAAGUAUAAUAUAGCAAGUAAAGUCUAAUACUGAAAGUACAGUAUAGUAGAGUGUAAUAAGUCUUGAAAGAAAUCUAUACUUAUAUAUCUAUAUCUAUACUUUUUUUUACUACAUUAAAGGAGGGUUUGGGGACCAUGGGGUGACACGUGUCCCCCCACCUCCCUCUUCUCUCACUAUACAUAUAUUUCAUAUAUAUAGUAUCUAUAUAAAUAAAAUUUUAAAUUUUCGAUAUCAAAAUUUGAAAUUUUGAUACUUUCAAAUUUCAAAGUUUUAAUUUCCAAAUUUUAUAUUCCAAAUUUUAAAUUACAAAUUUUAAAUUUUAAUUUAUAAUAUUUAUUUUAAAUUUUAAACUUCAAAAUUUAAAAUUUGAAAUCCCUAAACUCUUUUUAUUUAAAUAAAAUUAACUAUUAAAUUAUUUUUAUAUAACUUUAUUUAAUUAAUAAUUAGACAUAAAAUUAUAUAAAAAAUAAAAAACUAAAGGUUAUUAUAAAAAUAUUUUUAUAUCCGCAGCAUCGCUAUUAAAUUAUUUUCAUAUAACUUUAUUUAAUUAAUAAUUAGACUUAUAAAAUUAUAUAAAAAAUAAAAAACUAAAAAUUAUUAUAAAAAUAUUUUUAUAUCCGCAGCAUCGCGCGGGUAUUUCACUAGUAUAAUACUGAAGCUGAACAUGAACAACCACUGCCACAAAUGGUCCCACAUCAUCAAAAUUCUGAAGCUCGUGAUUUUCCUCAAAUUAAGCAAAUGCAAUCAGUUUAAGCAGCAACUUAAGUGAUGUCCUGCAAUAUUCUUGCCAUAAUAGAACACACAAAUUACUAACUAAACAAAUUUCCACAAAUCUGGGUCUUCAAAAUAAGUAAUGUAAUUAAUUAUACCUCUCUACUAAGAAAUCAAAUUAGUCCCACCACUUGCACUCAAAUAUGCUUCAGCUUGCUAAUUGUUGGGUCUCCUAGGGAAGAUUAAUUAAGCAUUAAAACAGAAUAACCAGUAAGAUUAAGCUACAUUAAAGACGCUAAUCACAUUAUAUAUAUAGACUAUGUACAUGCAGUAGUCUUAUUCCAAUCCUGCACCAAGAAAAAAAAGGAGAAUGUACACAAAGCAAUAAAACUUUAACCAUCCUUCGUAACAAGGACGAAAUCAAUAGACUAAAAUAACAGGAGUCUUUUUAAUUCAUACAACACAGAGAACAAAAAGAAAAUAGAAAUACAUAGGCAGUUUAUUUUGGUCUUGUUACAUUUAUAUAGAGAAAUCGAUAUAGUGCUUAAUUCGUUCUCGAACCACUAAACAUAGAACAUAAGCAACAACACUACAAUUUUUUUGCGCAGCAUCUACCAAAUAUACUCCAAAUGUUGAUACAAUCUGCACUAAAAACUAAAACAGUUUUAACAAAAUUGAAAGCAUGAUUUAUACUACUGCUGAAAUUGAGUUACACAAAUUUAAUCUGGUGCCUAUUAUACUGCAAAAAAAAACAAAAGAAAAAAGAAAAACAAUAAUAAUCUGAAACACAUUUAGAGCAAUGUUUAACAACUUUUUUUUUGAGAAAAAAAUAGCAUGCUACCCGCUUCAUUCAUAUAGUAGGUGAAUUAAGCAACAUGGGUGAGGCAUCAAGGCCUCAAGGUUGAUGGAGCCAAAAAGGAAAAAACAGGAGAACAGAUGUUGUUUGCAAAGUACAGCUGAUACCUCUAUGCUGACUACGAGGUCUAACUAUAGCUCUACGGAUCAGGAAUACCCCACUGAGCUAUCAGAUGUUUGAUCUUAUGAGUCCCACGGAUCGGAUCGGCCUGGGACUUCGCAAAAAUGAUUCCAUUCCUAGUCACCCAAACCACCCACCAGCAAGCAAUAAUACCGCUUAAAUCAUUAUUCGAGACCUUCCGUCCUUUCCAUAUAUCCCACAGCUGGUGUGGGACCAGGCAAUAAUACCGCUUAAAUGUUUAACAACUUCAUCAGAUAAUAGACAGAAAAGUAAACAAGCUUAUGACCAGGCAAUGAGAUUGGUUAUUUGUGCAGGAAUAUUCAAACACUAAAUUAUAUUUAGGAUAGAUGAAUACAAAUUGAGGAGAAAUAAAAUUGAAGCACUUAACCUCCCUGCCUCAAAAGAUGGCAAUUUUGUUUUCAAAGAUUUACUGUUGAUUUGGCUACAGAGGACGCGAAAAAAAAAGAAAAAUGGAAAACAUGGAAUCUGACUCUAAUCCUGCACCAAGAAAACUGAAGAACACAAGCAUGUAGAAAGAAAUUAGUCUUUUUUUCACUUUUAAUUCCUAGAAAUAGAUUGAUAGAAAACUCAUAGAGAGCCAUAUAUUACUCCAGCACUAAUAAAAUAGGAGAACAUAAGCAGCAAAACUUUACUCUUAUUAUAUAUUCCUUAAUAAAGAAUUGAUAGAAAUAUGAGUGUUAUACCAUUACUACAGUCCUGCACCAAGAAAUUUAAGGAACUUCAAAAGCUUUUGUCACACUUCUCUCUUCCUUAUUAUGUUCUAACUCAUCAACUAGUCAUAUUUAAUUGUAGAAGGUAAUUGAUAGAGUGCAUAUAAUAUCAUCAUUACAUUUUUUGUUUUACAUGACUAAUUUAUUGCUUCAGUGUUCACGCCUAAUAAGAUAUAAUACCUGAACCACGAGCAUAGGAAAUCAAAGGCAAGAGAUACUGAAACAGAAAUUUUAUUUAAUUUCUAAUACAAAUGUGGAAGAUAUGUGAUGCAGAGGGUAAGCAAAUACUAUAAUAUCUUUGUAAUCACGCGCUGCGAGCACCAUGUCCUGUAAGGAGUGAUUAGCACUAUAAUUUCUUUUAUACAUGCACCCAAACCAUAAAUUAAGGGUACAAAAUAUAAAAAUUUGUUUUGAGGAUGCUAAUUAAAAGCAAACCAGAUUGCUCUUUCAUUGUCUGAAAAGAAAAAGGCUAGUAGUCCUGAAACAAAUGAAAUAACCUUGUUAGUUAAGAUCGAAUAAGACGUAGUUCAUUAAGACCAGAGUGAAUUGCAUUAAUUACAGAGGGUAGCAUGGGUAAGAUGAAGGGUGGUAAAGUGAACAUACAAUAUGCAUCAUCACCUUUGCAAAUGCUAAAAAAUCGUCAGAUCAGGGAUGUCGGCAAUCUUGGGCCAAUCAAGGCCUAUAUUCUCUUGGCAUCGCUCCUUCAACACAGGGUGACACCCGGUGAUGCAUAGAGUACGCAGUGAAGCAGGCAGGUCUGGAAGUGACUGGAUAAGAUUAGCAUUAUACACUAGCAAACGCAUGAGGAAGCAUAGUUUUGUCAUGCUCUGGGGUAGGGACUGAAGGGAGCAUGCAUUUUUUAUGCUCAAAAAGUAGAGGGCACUGUGAUUUUGCACCAGCCAUUCCUCAGGUAAGGAAGUGAGUUGCGAAGCACCAAGGAGAGUCAUCCUACUGAUGGAGGAGAGACUCCUCAAUGGCUCCAUGAGCAGGAGUGCGUGGUGGUCAAUUGAUAGUCUACCAAGCUUCAAAAAGCAGUCAAGUGCAUUCUUUUGGCUGACAUUAUUUGGAAAUGGAGGCUGACGCAGGGAAACUUCAAUUAGCUUGUCACACCCUUCAAUUUCUAAAGAACGAAGAGACACAAGAGCUUGUAUUCCACCAAAUGAUGAUAGUUCUUUGCAGUUCUUUAUCUCUAAACUGGAAAGCAUUGUCCACCCUGCACACACUUGUGCUGGGGGAAGGGAUGCUAUCCUUGCACAAUCGAGUAAAUCCAAACAGGUAAGAGAGGCUAAAUCUGCUGACCACAGCAAUGGCACCUCAAGGUCGCCACAUGACCCAAUAGUGAGUUGACUGAGUAUAGAGGGCAGUUGGAUGUCUGAGAUCCCACGUUUUGUCAACUUUGGGCACUUUUCUAUACACAAGAAUUUUAGGGGGUUGAAUUUCCGAAAAAACUCUGUUGGAAGAUAUUCGAGCUUCUCACAUUGUUUGAUGGUUAAAGUUGCAAGAGCCUUAAAAUGUUCUUGUUGCUGCAGAAAGAAAAGAUGUAAGGAUAUUAAGUCAGGGCAAUCACAGCCAUGCAAAUAUAUAAAUUGGUGUUUUAAUAUAAGGGUAAACUUCAAAUGCUCUUUUGUUGUUUGACUCAUUUUCACCUUGCCACCUUGUGGUUCAAAAAGUUUCAUUUCACCCUCAUGCAGUUUAAUUUUUUAUUUCACUAAAAAAUUCUAUAUGACAUAGAGUGGCAAAUAAAAAUUUUUAAAAAACCACAAGGUGGCAAAGUAAAAAAUGCGCUAAAUGAUAGGGGGGCCAAAGUGCAACUUUUUGAAACGCAGGGUUGCAAAGAGAAAAAUGAGCUAAACCAUAGGGAAGCAAAGUGAAACUUUUUGAACCGCAGAGGAGCAAAGUGAUGAGCUAAACCUUGGGGUAGGUAAUAGGUAAUUUGAAGUACACAAAAUAGAGCACUUACAUUGUUGUUUCCGCAAUCUUGAUUUAUUGUUGAAAGAGCAGUCAAUCCAACAUCAGAAAUUUUCAUUCGUCUUAGAUUGCGAGGCAGAGUAGGAAUUCCCCUCAAAUUAGGGCAGCCAAUAAUCUCCAGAGAAUGAAGUAGAGGAAACAUGCAUCCAUCAUCUACUCCAAUCCACUCCUCCAAGUUAGGCAUGUAUAAUAAGAAUAGCUGCUUCAACGAUGGAAAGGCACAUACACCGCUGCUCCCGUAGAAUGAACAACAUAUGUGCUUUACUGCAUGUAGUUUACACAGGUAAAGACGGUUAAGCAAAGGCAGGUCCCCAAGAGGUGGGAGGUGCUCCCAUCCUUCACAAUCAAUCAGUUCGAUGGAUGUCAAGUUGAUGAGAGACAGAUCUGUCAUCCAACAAGGAGAUUUCACACCUUUGUAAUUUUGAAUACGCAAUCUCUUGAGAUUGAUAUGCGGGCAGAGGUUAUCAAGGAGCUGCUCAUCCGUCUCUACACAACUGGAGCGGUCUCUGGACCAUCCCAAUGACAAUGAUUUGAGAUAUUCUUUCUCGUUCAACUUGGCCUCCAUAACUUCUUCAGAACUCCUCACAUUUUCAAGUUCUCUAACGCACAAAUGACGAAGGUCUCUUAGGUUCAUUAGUUCACCGAUUUUGUAACCACUCUCCUCUCGGACUACAAAAUUUUUUAACUUGUGGAUGAAGGGUAGUUUGCUAAUAUAACGAAUAUUUUUUAUCAUACCAUGACGAUCAUCUAACGAACGCAAAUUGACCAAGUUAGUCAAGCCAUCAUAUUCAAUAUUAUACGUGCCUAUUCCAAAAGUCAAGAGCUUCAGGAAUUGUAGGUGAUAAAGCCUACAAAGAGAUGAACGAAUGAAGCCCAUGAAACUUUCAUCUAUUACCACUCUUUCCGAAAGAGAUAGGUAGCGGAGGUGUAUCAAGCUAUUAAGUGCAUAGGGCAUUUUAUAAAAGUCAAAAGUCACAUGCAUACUCAGUAAGCGUAAGUUUUUAAAUCCUUUUAUAACCUCACUAAACACAAGUAAAUGAUCUGUAUUAUGCUCAUGAUUCUCUUCAACAGAUACGACAAGAGUGCGCAAGUUCUUAAGAUUGGAGAUCUCUCUAAUGGAAAGAAGAUUUGUGCUUUCAACAGAUAAAUGUCGAACUGUCCGUGGAAUAGUAUUUCCUACAAUAUCACCUCCUAUUCUGAUGCAUUC